UAGGGAAUCUUCCGCAAUGGACGAAAGUCUGACGGAGCAACGCCGCGUGAUUGAAGAAGGAUUUCGGUUCGUAAAACUCUGUUGUUAGGGAAGAAAAAAUGUAUAGUAACUAUAUACAAAAGAGACGGUACCUAACCAGAAAGCCACGGCUAACUACGUGCCAGCAGCCGCGGUAAUACGUAGGUGGCAAGCGUUGUCCGGAAUUAUUGGGCGUAAAGCGCGCGCAGGUGGUUUAGAAAGUCUGAUGUGAAAGCCCACGGCUCAACCGUGGAGGGUCAUUGGAAACUAAUAAACGUGAGUGCAGGAGAGAAAAGUGGAAUUCCUAGUGUAGCGGUGAAAUGCGUAGAGAAUAGGAGGAACACCGGUGGCGAAAGCGGCUUUUUGGCCUGCAACUGACACUGAGGCGCGAAAGCGUGGGGAGCAAACAGG
rnacentral:rRNA from 1 species